UAGGUCAGUAUUACAAUGCACUCUAUUGGAUGCAUUCGCGUCUCGUGCUGCAUUAAAUUUUAUAAAAAUAUAUAUAUAAACGUAUAUAUAUGUUAUAUAUAUAUAAUAUAAUUACUAGUCACACGUGUUCGUUAACUAUAGCAUGUAUUGGAUCCGUCUGUGUAACGUACGUGAAUUGUUACUCCUUUGUCCGCCGCCAUUUUGUCUUGAUCACUUCAUCACAGCGACAGAGACGAGUGUAGGUCCAUGGAAUUCUUCUGGACUCUGGAUUCAAGUCUUCCAGAUGAAGCCGAAGGUUUGAUGAGCUCUAGUAUGUGUUUGUCACCAAAUAUUAUCACAAUUUCUGUCUGAUAAGUACCCACAUGAUACAAUGCAGUGUCAUGAACCAAUAUCCUUAUUAAGAGUUCUCAUCGUCUACCUUCAUACAUACAGUUUCUAGUUUUUCGUUGACUUGUAACACAUGAUAGUAUCCUAGUAGAUACAUUAAUGAAUCGCUGGCCUAGAGAUUAAAGGCAGGCGUGAGGGCGCGGGUUCGAAACCUGGCAAGUACAGAUGUGAUUUUUAAAAGUCAUAUGUACUUACCAUGAGUAUCUAGACACCACUGACGGAAGGUGAGGGAAAACAUCGUGAGGAAACCUGGACUUGUAAUUUCAAAUUAUAAGACUGAAACCGCCAAUCCGCCUUGAGCAAGCGUGGUGAUUAAUGCUCUAACCUUCUCCAUGUGAGAAGAGGCAGCUCAGCAGUGGACACCGAUAGGCUGAUGAUGAUGAACAUAUAUGAAUGGAAAUACUUUAUACUGUCUGUAUUUAGUUCGACGAAUAAAACUGUUGGUAGCUACAGAGUUGUAUUACAGAUCUAUAUGAAGCUGGUGUCCUGCGAGUCGUCGCUGUGCCUCCUCUAUAACGACCCGCCUCGCACGGGAACCGAGCCCGGGACUGUCCGCAGGGGACGGUCCAACUUGAAGUACAGAGUCUUAACGAUCAAUAUAAUAUUGCGUGAGUAUAAAUAUUUGUUUUACAUUCAGCCAAAAUAUUUGGUCAGACAAAGUCAAGGGAUAAACUAUGUAUGCAAUACAUGUACCGGCCAUGAAGGUGAGUGACCUCUGUAGCGCGUCUCCUCACUUUGUAUCUAUUUUUCUUCAUUGUUUGCUCAUUUUCGGUGUUAUAUUUUUUUCCUUGUAUAGCCACGGCCGCCUCAACUGGAACCCGUAGAUCCGAACUUGUGCGUCAGUCGUUAGGAGACAGCUGCGACUGUUCUGUCGCAGGACGCUCUCUCUAUGUGUGAUCCAAUCAACGCAUCCGCGCAGUCGAUGUUGCGACAGUAAAGUCGUGCGACAGUCCCGUCGCAAGUCAGUCCCACACAAGUUUGGUGAUACGCGGGAGCAGUUUUGGCGGGUAUUCGUCGUAUCUUCGUUUUUUUUUAUAUUUUGGUUUAUUUAAUUUUACUAUUUGUUUUAAUUAUUAUUAUUUUUUUUCUCAUUUGUUUUUUCGUAUAUUUUAUUAUUUAAUUUUCAAUUUUAUUUCACUUUAACCCCGUGCUAGUUGAAUAAUUUUGUUGUAAUCUUCUUGUUAACUCCCGAACCGUCUGGAACUUGGCUUGACUAACGUGAAAAUGUGUUUCAUGAUUUUUAUAAAAUAUUACAUGGAGGUAUAACGCUUGUUAAUGUUACAAUACACUUCACAGUGUUACAAUACAGUUCAUAGCGGUACAAUACAGUUCACAGUGUUACAAUACGGUACAUAAAGUUACAAUAGGAGCUGUGAAGGAUAUCUGUUGGAAGAAAGCCGCCGGCGAGGUGAGGUAGUAGGUUGUAUAGUACUGAAUUACAACUAUUGGGAGAGACUGUAUAGCCUGCUAACUUUCCAAGCCGGCGGCGGGCACUGCGCUGGCGGGACGGAGGUGCGAGCUGGUCGACUGUGAGGACACACACACACACACACUGAUACGUUACAAUACACUUCAUAGUGAUAUUAAAAAAAUAAUUUCGUAAUAUUCUAAAGUCUUUAUCUGUAUUAUUGUAUAAAGAUCGCGUCCGGAUAAAUUCAGGAAUAAGUCGUAUUGUAUUGUUGGUGAUAAUGAAAACUAACAUAAAUGUUAAACAGAUUUUGAUUGAAUUUGUAUGAUGUUUAAAACUAAUAGAUUAUAAGGAUUGUACUUAACAUAAUAAUAAGAAUUAAAUUCAUAGUUUUAAUUUAAUGUCUUCUGUUAAUAUACAUAUACGUGUUCUGUAAUGUUUUUUAUAUUAUUA